AGUGAACGCUGGCGGUAGGCCUAACACAUGCAAGUCGAACGGCGGCACAGUAAGAGCUUGCUCUUACGGGUGGCGAGUGGCGGACGGGUGAGGAAUACAUCGGAAUCUACUUUUUCGUGGGGGAUAACGUAGGGAAACUUACGCUAAUACCGCAUACGACCUACGGGUGAAAGCAGGGGAUCUUCGGACCUUGCGCGAUUGAAUGAGCCGAUGUCGGAUUAGCUAGUUGGCGGGGUAAAGGCCCACCAAGGCGACGAUCCGUAGCUGGUCUGAGAGGAUGCUCAGCGACACUGGAACUGAGACACGGUCCAGACUACUACGGGAGGCAGCAGGGGGAAAUAUUGGACAAUGGGCGCAAGCCUGAUCCAGCCAUACCGCGUGGGUGAAGAAGGCCUUCGGGUUGUAAAGCCCUUUUGUUGGGAAAGAAAAGCAGCAGGUUAAUACCCCGCUGUUCUGACGGUACCAAAAGAAUAAGCACCGGCUAACUUCGUG
rnacentral:rRNA from 1 species